AAAAAAUUGUCUGAAAUGAUAUUCUACAAGGCAAAUAGCCUGGUAAUGGCGGCUACUUGGAAAAUGGAUGCAGAAAACGAUUUAAAUUUUACUGAAAUGCCAUGAAAACCCUACCACACGUGUUGCCGGGAUAUGUUAGAGCUUCAUAUCCACGUGUUGAUACGUUGGCUUAUUUUCGAAUUUUUCCGCAUGAUAUGGAUCUGAUGUGCAGAAAAAUGAAUUUCUUCCACUUCUUAAAAGAUUUCACUGUCUUGAAGAAAAUAAUGAGAAAAGACCAUGCGAUGGUACUAUGAUGAAGAUCAGGCUGACGGAGCACCAUCUUCAAUUGGAGCAUUACUUGAUCGGCUCUAAGAGCUUGAUAGAGCUAUCCAAAGACGAGCCUUAGUUAAAGAUCAACGUCUUUAGGCUGUUAAUUUGGAAUGCUACCAAAAAAAAUAUAUAUUAAACAGAUCAGCGGCGUACCAAAAAUGGAAUUCUGAAAUAUUUAUUGUACAACCCAAACUUCUUGAAUAAAAUUGAAUAGAAUGUGUUUAUUAUAACGUGAUAUAAUUUAUUUUUCAUUUCAUAUUAUAGACAUUUACUUUGUUUUUGUUUUUAGGGCUAUUUGUAACGCUACAAAUCUUUGUAUUUGGGUUCCUGUUUUAUAUAUAUAUGUAUAUAUAAGAAUAAUUCUUUUUGUAAAUGUUUUGAAUUCAAUAUGUUUUCUUCGUUUUUGGUAUUU